CCACAACGUCACUCUGUUGUCCCCUGUUCUACACAACCUAAACAGAGGCCACGCAUGAAAUGGCACAGUAACUUUCCCCGUAAACUACAUAUCUCAGGUCUUCGGUAGAGCUAGGCCAACUUUAGUUGCUUAAAAGUCUCCUCAUGUUUUAAUCUUAAUCCUUCUAACACAUAGGAAUUAAUGGGUCUUCGAAUCUCUUUCAAAUUAGUAACACUUCCAUUUCAGUCAAAAGUCACAACAACCAGGCACAUAUAACAUACCAAACAAUUUAAAAGCAAUAAACAACCUGCCCUCUCACCCAGAGAAAGAUGAACCUUUUUCCGUCCUUAAGGACGACCUGAUUAUCAUACCGAAAAAGCUGGGUAUACCCUUCAUCAAAGGUCAUGAUUAGCAAAUUCAGGUUUGACAAGAAGCACUUAUAGAAAGAAGAAAACCAAAUCUAAACAAAUAUUAUGGGUUGGUUCUUAUUUGUGUGUUUGAGCUUGAAAUAUAUAUAGUUAUAUAACAAGGGACAGAAGGAAGAUCGAAUGUCGGGGAAGAAGAGAGAGGGGUCUAGAAUAUGCGUCUCUACAGCAAAAUACCAAGCCGAAAAGGCUAAUGAGAUAGAAAGACGAAAGGGAAGAGGAAGAGGUCCCUUUUAUUGGUGAGUGACAGAGUGCGAGAGGUGUUGAGAGCUAGCUGUUCUUAAGUAGACAGAUUUCUCUUUCUCUUUUAUGUUCUUCGAUUCUGCAUCACAGUAAUUUAAGAUUGUUAUCCGGUCCUUCAAUUUUUGUCAUUAUCUCCUUCAUUUUCUUUUUCUUUCUGAUGGGUUUGUGUUAACUACUUAUUAAAGUGAAAAACGAAAAAGAAGAGUAUAAUUUUUGGCUUGGUAAAGCAAAGUUUCAGUGUAAAUGAAUUGCUUACCAAGUAUAAAAGAGGUGGACAUGUUUGAGUAAGUCAUUGACCCGUUGUUCAAAACGAAAACAAGUAUUAAGGGCUUUUUGGCGGGUGUAACUAAGUUAAUGCUUCUGUAAAUAAGGAACAAAAUUCCAUGAAAAGCUCUGUCACAAAGGACGUGAAGCAUGAAGCUGCAGGUCGAGCCUAUGUUUGGGUAGUGUAGAACAACGUGGAUGUAUUUUUUUCCUUCCCCUUGAAACCGCAUUAUGGUGUGUUUCAUUGAACGUUUAUCUGGGACGUCGUUUGAGUUAAAAUAUGUUGGAGAUGAAUCCGGACCGUUUAUUUAUUUUACAGCAGAUAACUGGUACUUCUCACAACAGCAUGGAAGCUAGAUACUUUUCUCUAUCAACGAAGUUCUAUAUAUAAUCCAGCCACCCUAGCUCUGAGUCUCUACCCUUGGACGACAAUUUUUGAGACCCAACAUAAUAGAUGGCAUUGUGGUUCUGGUUAUGCCUCGUCUUUGUUUUUCUCUCAUUUUUGUGCAUGGAAGCACGUUCUCCUGACCUAUUUUCUGACAAGAUCAACUCCCACGAAUUCAUGAAGACUGCAAGAGAAGUGUUGAAGGAAAGUAUACGAAGACAGGAAAUAAUUGGAAGACUACUUGCUGAGCCUAGUCGACUAAGCCCUGGAGGCCCUGAUCCUCAUCAUCACUAAUCUGCCAGAUUGAUCGAUCUGUUGGGUGUUGGAAUUCAAAGAUGUGCUAUUUAUAAACAAUCUCACCCAAAUUGUAUACGCAACGUUUUUCGCUGUGUAUUUUAUCUUAUUUAAAAAAAUAAAUGCCAAUAGGCAUUGUGCGUACAAUUUGUAUACAAAUUGUGUGCAAAUAACAUAUCUCAAGAAUUCAAGUGCUUC